rnacentral:rRNA from 1 species
GAUGAACGCUGGCGGCGUGCUUAACACAUGCAAGUCGAACGGAAAGGCCCAAGCUUGCUUGGGUACUCGAGUGGCGAACGGGUGAGUAACACGUGGGUGAUCUGCCCUGCACUUCGGGAUAAGCCUGGGAAACUGGGUCUAAUACCGGAUAGGACCACUUCUUGGAUGUUGUGGUGGAAAGUUUUUUCGGUGUGGGAUGAGCUCGCGGCCUAUCAGCUUGUUGGUGGGGUAAUGGCCUACCAAGGCGUCGACGGGUAGCCGGCCUGAGAGGGUGUACGGCCACAUUGGGACUGAGAUACGGCCCAGACUCCUACGGGAGGCAGCAGUGGGGAAUAUUGCACAAUGGGCGCAAGCCUGAUGCAGCGACGCCGCGUGGGGGAUGACGGCCUUCGGGCUGUAAACUCCUUUCGCUAGGGACGAAGCGUUUUGUGACGGUACCUGGAGAAGAAGCACCGGCUAACUACGUG